CCCACCCCAACCACCUCCGCACACCCCGCACCGGUCGCUGUUCCUCCCGCCCCAACUUCGCGAUCCGUCCGCCGUUCCUCUCGUUCCCCUGUGUGCCCUGCCCCUGCAUUGAAGAUGACGCCACCGUUCCGCAAGAGUCGAGAUCGAUCUGUCCUCCCAUCGUCGUCGAUCCUCCUCCGGCCUGCCUUCCGAUAUCAGGAGGCACUGCAUCGCCAUCUACCCAUGCUGCAGAAGGAGCGAAGGGAAGGCAACGCAAAGCAACCUCUCUGUGUGGCUUGGAGGAAGAGCUCCCGAGGCUUCAAGGGGCACGCAGGGAGAAGCUCAAGACCUUCUUGUAGUUACUGAUGAGCUGGACAGUUGGGUCGCCGGCGAUGAGCGCCUACUAGAUGUCCUUGUGCACUGCUGCAGUUAUGUUGCGGGUGUGUGCUUCGCCAACACAUGGAGCCCUGGAGUCACUGCUAGCUACAUGAUUUCUUUGCGUCCUCACCAUUUCAGCCAGAUUUGUGCUCUACUGCUUCAUCGUUCCAUUGUACUUCUCUGUGCUUUUUGUUUGUUGCUCUGCUAGCAUUGUCUGAAUGUGCUUGUGUGCUGCAGGAUUGAUACUGCUUAUUUAUUUAUAGCGGAUGCACUCAGUAGUCAGUAUGCACGCAUACAUGGUUGAGCUAAAUUAGGUGUUAUGUGACUUUGUUUUAUUGUUGCUUAGCUUAGUGUUAUAUUCUCGAUCAAUUCCAUGGCGCUGCUGGGAGAUGGGGCACCAGCAUAAGAUAAAAGCAAGAUGUGAUGGAUUCUAACAUGAAAAUGCAUUAUUUUUUUUUGUUGAUGUGUGCCAUAGUUGAGCUGUCUGAUACCUUGUUUUUCAUGUUGUGGUGAUGGAAAUAGAUGUUUGAUUCUUGCUGCAUUAUGGGUUGAGAUUGUGUCCUUUUAGUUCUCUAUCAUAAACAGCUUUCGCACUAGCUAAAACUUCGAUGUUAGGGGCGUUUAUUUUCGCAAAAUAUUAUUUCGAUUUUAGAUAUAGUAGAUAAUGUGUAGGAUUAAUUGAUAAUUGCUUUCAUGUUUGGUAAUCAUAGAUCAUUUUUUAGUUAACAAAAAUACUGCAACUUGGCGCCUGAAAUCUGAUUUUUCUGUGAAUAUGUAUUAUGUACAUAUAUACUGAUUAGCAUUUCCACAAUUUUCAAUAUAUGUUGCCACCAUGUACCAUUGCAUAAUGUAUCAUGUGAAUUUUUUCAAUAUAUGUUGCCACCAUGUACAAUAUCCACAAUUUUCAAUAUAUGUUCACAUCUCUUUUUGUUCACAGACUACCUUUGUUGGCCGUGGGUACCAUUGCAUAAUGUAUCAUGUGAAUUUUUUGGUGUCUAUGGUUGGGUUGAGUAUUAUUUACCACCUGAAUUAAAGAAUGCUUUUUAGUAGUUGCAAUUUCACCAUAUAGACUCUUAAAGGAGUUCUGGUCGAAGUAACUUUGUAUUUCAGCCUUAGCACCAUUGAACUAUCUUUUCAUUGACAGUAUUGCCAUUUUCUUUUCAUGUCACAGACAUUCGAAUGUACCACCAGCCGGUAUGCCAAUGAUCAGCUCACACUGGGCAUCAUCUUCCAUAACCUGAAUGAAUUCCUCACUGAUGCCUCCGGUGCUGAGAUGCCAUAGGCUGUUUCCCCUCUCCCUCGAUCCUGCAACCUGGACUCCUACAUGAAAGUUAAGCCUUGGAAUUUGAUUUGUGCAUCGAGUUGUCGAUUGAGGGAGGAAGGUAGUAAAUUCCUGAUCCUUUUGAGUGAGGGAGGGAGCUACCUUGUCAUCGACUUGUUGGCGGAGGGAUAUGUGAUGUUUUUUUCAUCCAAGAUAUGCACAUGUUCAGAUAUGUGCAAAAAAAGUGUACUCUGUUUUGUAUCAUUCAUCUCAUGGACUAGAUAACUAUCUGGCAAUGCCAACCAUGAUCGUGGAAUUGUAAGCUCUAUGGCUCAAAAUUAAUGUUGACGGUUCAAUUUCAGAGGCAUCUGGGGAAGCAGAAAUCAGAAUUGUCAUCCGUGACCUUCUGGUCAGUGUCAAGCUAACAGCAUGGCAAACAAUGUUCGACGUUUCAAAUGCCGAGGAGAUGGAAGCUUUGGCAUGUAAAGAGGGCAUUGGCCUGGCUGCUGAAUGGUUCCAGGAGCCAGUUAUGGAACCAGACUGCACGGUUGCCGUCCAAUAUUUGAAGGAGGUGAAGGUCUUGAAGCCUGUAUGUCUCUCCAUCAUUCAGGAGGCUUCUCAUGCGACUAGUAGAUUGCCAGGUUUUGAGUUGAAUCAUGUAAAGAGAUAGGAAUUCAGUAGCUGAUGAUCUUGCACAAAUGGCGAAGUGUCUGAACCACAGUGCUGUGUGGUGAGGCUGUUAUCCUGCCUGUACUAAGCAGCUGAUUGUGCUAAAAAAAAGCAGCUGAUUGCUCUUGAUUGUAACAUUUCCAUGAGUAAUCAAUAAAAUCUCGAGUAUGUUUUAUGGUUCCC